GAUGAACGCUGGCGGCGUGCCUAAUACAUGCAAGUCGAGCGAACAGACGAGGAGCUUGCUCCUCUGACGUUAGCGGCGGACGGGUGAGUAACACGUGGAUAACCUACCUAUAAGACUGGGAUAACUUCGGGAAACCGGAGCUAAUACCGGAUAAUAUAUUGAACCGCAUGGUUCAAUAGUGAAAGACGGUUUUGCUGUCACUUAUAGCUGGAUCCGCGCCGCAUUAGCUAGUUGGUAAGGUAACGGCUUACCAAGGCAACGAUGCGUAGCCGACCUGAGAGGGUGAUCGGCCACACUGGAACUGAGACACGGUCCAGACUCCUACGGGAGGCAGCAGUAGGGAAUCUUCCGCAAUGGGCGAAAGCCUGACGGAGCAACGCCGCGUGAGUGAUGAAGGUCUUCGGAUCGUAAAACUCUGUUAUUAGGGAAGAACAGAUGUGUAAGUAACUAUGCACGUCUUGACGGUACCUAAUCAGAAAGCCACGGCUAACUACGUG
rnacentral:rRNA from 1 species